rnacentral:rRNA from 1 species
AUUGAACGCUGGCGGCAGGCCUAACACAUGCAAGUCGAGCGGUAGAGAGGUGCUUGCAUCUCUUGAGAGCGGCGGACGGGUGAGUAAUGCCUAGGAAUCUGCCUAGUGGUGGGGGAUAACGUUCGGAAACGGACGCUAAUACCGCAUACGUCCUACGGGAGAAAGCGGGGGGAUCUUCGGACCUCGCGCCAUUAGAUGAGCCUAGGUCGGAUUAGCUAGUUGGUGAGGUAAUGGCUCACCAAGGCGACGAUCCGUAACUGGUCUGAGAGGAUGAUCAGUCACACUGGAACUGAGACACGGCCCAGACUCCUACGGGAGGCAGCAGUGGGGAAUAUUGGACAAUGGCGAAGACUCGAUCCAGCCA